UUGGGUCGGGGCCCUUUUGAGUCGGGGGCCCGUGGCAUUUUGCCAGCCCUGCCACCCUAUAGUUACGCCACUGGGGAGGGAAAUAGAAUG